rnacentral:lncRNA from 13 species
GCUGCUGCCAUAGCCGCCACGCUGCGCAGCACCCUGUCCGGGGUGCCCUCUCCCGAGCCAGCGUUCCCUUCCUGCGAGAGCCUCUCCCGCUUCUGGGCGUGCCUCUCCUUUCUUUCCUUCCGGGUCUCCCUCCCCCAGCCUUCUCCUUCCUUCCUGUGUCUGCGCCUCCUGCCCCUCUCGGUGCUGCGUUCACGUUCGCUGCUGGAGGAUGGUGCUCGCGAGCUGUUGAGCCUGGGCCCGGUGCUCUGGGAGCUGAGGCUGUGGGUGCGCUGGCUGCUGUUGCUGCUGCUCAGGCUACUCCCUCCACCAUCGCUACUCACGCUGCUGCAGGCGCUGUGGCCCCUGGACGAGCGAGUCUCCCUCUCGCCCCCCUCUUCCUUCUCCUCCGAGGGCUUCUUUUUUUCUUUUUCACUCUCCUCCUUCUUGCUCCCCCUCUUGUUGUCUGUCUCCAGGGGCGGGACGAGGGCGCCAGGGCACUGGCGGGUGGAGCGGGCGGCGGUGCGGCUAGACUUGGUGGGAGUCAUCUUGCUGAUUCCUGCUUUGUUGUUGCAGUUUGUUUGCGGAGUGGCUGGUGCACUUUUAGAUUUGGACUUGUGGUUCUUGUCAGAGGAAGCGGGAGAAAUGACAUUCUGCCCAGCAGCCUUAGCCGCAGGGUCUUUCCUGCUGCCAGGGGUGUCGACCCUGCCUCGCAUGGCAAGGAGUUUGGCUGCAGCGUUCAGGGCUGAACAUCUCUUUCCCAGGACCUCUGGCUGGGGAGGGGUAGAGGGCACGCUGUUAGACUGGGGUUUACUCUCCGAGGUGGGCAGAGGACCAGAGGAUUUCCGGGUGACUCUCACAGAGGAUGUCUCGCUACCAGACUCCCCAGUACCGGUGUUGUUGGACACAGUCCUGCCCUCCCAUUCAGAGCUCCUGGCAGGUCUUCUUCUCCGCCUGUUGCCCUCUCCAUCCCCCUCUUUCUCCUGCCAGCUCUGGGACGAGCGGGUGAGGCGUUCUUUCCUGGUUUCACAGGGGUCCGAGUCUGAAGAAGAGGACCUGGACUGCCUCCUCCGAGUGGCGUUGGUGGACUCUUUCUCAGUCUUCCCCUCUCCCUUCUCUGGGUCAGACAGAACCUCUCCUCGCCUCCUCUUGGCAGGUGCUCUCUUCUCUGCACUCUUCUUGUAUUGGGCUGACCGGGUGGGAUUGGAUGUGGAGCACACCGAGGAAGGAGAAGAGGAGCGCACCGACUCCUGA